AAUAAAUUACUGUGCUAGGAGCUUCCUCUAACCUGUAGUUGCUGGUAAGCCUCGACAUUGCUGGGAUUGUGCUGAUGACCAACAAGCUCAAGAGGACCCUCGGAGAAGACUUCGGAGCCAUUGUCAUGAAGCUCCAGCUUCUCCCCCCUCCCCAGCAUCCUCCUCCCAAGGCCCCCCAUCCCCUCACCGGCCUCUCCUUUGCCUGUCUCCGACGCCUAUAUGACUGCUUACUUCUCUCCCAGUCUCCCUCCCCACCGCCCUCCUUUCUUUCUAUAUACAUAUGUAUGUGUCUGUGUAUACAUAUAUAUAUACACGAUUAUUUGUUUCCUAUGUUGUUCACAAAGGACAAUGUGAUGCGUUUGUUAAAUUGAACGCUGCUACUUGUGUGCGGUGUAAGCAGAAAGCAUUUCCAGUAUAUUUCUCUGAAUUACGUACGCUUGGUAAAGUUCUUGUUUGGUUGGUUUCUUUGUCGGCCGCUUUACUGUGUUACCGCGGCUCGGUCUAAUGCUUGGCAAAGUUUGGUUGUUAGUUAUUUAUCAUGUGGGUCGUCUAAGUGUUUGAAGAUUGCUCGCUUCAUACUGCUUUGUGAUGCACUCCACGUCAUUGUUGAUGAACAAUGAGCCGGCACCUAAUAAGUCUGGGCUUCCAAUGUGAUUUUCAGGUUCGACAUCGAGGGGCAUGUCACGGGGUUCAGGAAUCCAGACUGGGAGUGGACCCAUGAGCCGGACCAUGAACAUCUACCGUCGUCUCCACUCUAGUCGAUGAAGGCGCCGCUUGUGCCGGGAAAAAUGCUGUUGAUGAAAUGGCUUUUAGUAUCACUGGAGAAAAUAAGCAGCAUGGUACGCCCCGUAAAUCCUGCAGCACCUUCACGGGUACCUGGUGGAUCGUGCAGUGGAGCCGCUGUCGCUGUUGCUGCUGAUCUUGUUGAUUUCUCUUUGGCUUGUUUUCAUAUCAGGUUAAUCGCACCAGUGAAUUAUGGUCUGCCACGUAACUUUCACGGGAGCCUGCAUCAACUGAAGCCUGUGAUUAGUUCGUGCAAAGAAAGCUUUUGAGACCCACUAAGCUAGAAUUACCCGGUGGAUGGGGAGUUAAGCCUCAUAUUUUGAGUUCCAGGCAGGUAUCGAUACUGUUGGAGUCGUGAGAGUUCCUGCAGGGUACUGUGGUGUCAUUGGCUUUUGAUCUUCUCAUGGGGCUGUUUCCAGCAUGGGGAUCAUCUCCAUCUCGACAACUCUGGACGCUGUUGGUGUGGAUGUCUUAAACUCAUAAGUUGCAAUUUUUUUGUCCAAUGAAGUCAUUUCCAUUUCCUCUGAAAUCUUUUAUAUUUGCCUGUUGGAUAUCACGACAAGUGCCCUCUCUGAGUGUCCCUUAUAGCAAGAAAUGGUGGGGAUCGGUUCUUACUUGACACAGUUCGGGCCCUGUAUCAGACCUUGCAAGAACUGGCCAAUAUCACCGCCAGGGCUAAAUCGGCUAGGAGUGCUAUCACUCUGGAAAUUUCUGCUGAAAUCGCUACUGAAAAGGCACUCAAGCAUACAAAGAUAAACAGUGCAGAAGGCAAUUAAUUUCUAUACUGGACUGAAUGCCAACAAUGCCACUUAUUACAGCAAUAGCGCAGCUGCAAGUCUAGAACUCGGAAGUUUCCUUCAGGCCGAGGCUGUUUGUACCAAAGCUAUCACUCUGGACAAAAAGGGCAAUCUCAUCUCAGGGAUGACCCUUCUACUAUAUUAGAGUAAUGUGAAGGCCUGCUUAAGGAGAGGCACAGCUCGAGAGAUGCUGGGCUACUACCAACUUCAAUUACUCACUUGUCCUAGAACCAACCAACAAGAGAGCAGCCCUUUCUGCAGAGAGACUGAGGAAGUUGUUCCAGUAAUGGAUGAUUAAGUAUUGGCGUGCUUCCCUGCUCAUAAUGGCCUCAUCUUGCAACCUCUGCCAGAUUUAUUUGGCCUAGAGGAUUCCUGUUCAUUUAAGCAGAAUCACUUGUCUCAGAUGAUUAGCUCGGGGAUGCUCUACAAUGGAAGACGACAAUGGAUCCACUUCUUCCUCCCUAAGAUUAAGGUGUUAGGAGCAAAAGUAGGUAUACUUGACUAAUUGUUGUCAGCAGCUUGAUCUCGUUUUCCAUAAUUCUGAUGUGCUUAUCCAAUUUUGUUCAAUUGAAGUUUUACGUUCAGGCUGUAAUUCAAGCCCAACAGUUAGGUUUUGAUGGGAUCUGAAGACUAUCUUCAACUUAUUUAUCGAUAUAACUAUUAU